ACAAGCCUAUGAUGGUUUAGUUAUCCCUGUCUGAAAAUCUCGACUGAAGGGAAACCGUGUAUUCUGAGGCUUCA
ensembl:snoRNA SNORD1A small nucleolar RNA, C/D box 1A